UACGUAGGGUGCAAGCGUUGUCCGGAAUUAUUGGGCGUAAAGAGCUCGUAGGCGGUCUGUCGCGUCUGCUGCGAAAACUCAGGGCUUAACCCUGAGCUUGCAGUGGGUACGGGCAGACUAGAGUGCGGUAGGGGAGACUGGAAUUCCUGGUGUAGCGGUGAAAUGCGCAGAUAUCAGGAGGAACACCGGUGGCGAAGGCGGGUCUCUGGGCCGUAACUGACGCUGAGGAGCGAAAGCAUGGGGAGCGAACAGG
rnacentral:rRNA from 1 species